rnacentral:misc_RNA from 1 species
GAUGAAGAACGCAGCAAAAUGCGAUAAGUAAUGUGAAUUGCAGAAUUCAGUGAAUCAUCGAAUCUUUGAACGCACCUUGCACCCUUUGGCAUUCCGAAGGGUAUGCUCGUUUGAGUGUCAUUGUACUCUCACUCUCCCGAUCUUUGGAUCGGGAGUGGUGGACUUGGGUGUUGCUGCUUUACCGUGGCUCACCUCAAAUGGAUUCGUGCAACUCCUGGUUGGACAUAGUACGGCGUGAUAAGUGUCUUCGCCGGCACCUCACUAGAGGGUGGCUGACCGGGAGCUAUGUGCUUCAAACCGUCUUCGGACAACAACUGACAACUUGACCUCAAAUCGAGUAGGACCACCCGCUGAACUUAAGCAUAUCAAUAAGCGGAGGA